CCACCUUGCCUCUCCAGUACAGCCCCUCACCCUUGCCCAGAAAACUCCUCUAACAUUCUCAGAAAGGGGAAUGGGUUCCAGAUGAUCUCAUGUCACCCUGUGGUCCCCCUCAAGGAUCGUAGGUCGGGAGGGACACAGGGGAAACGGCAGGGAGUACCUCUCAGAAGGCAGCAGCAGGUGGGAAGAAACUGGGCAUGGGUCCUCAAUCCAACACUCCUGUUUUGGUAUCCGAGCGUUUCUUUGUCUGCCCAUUGGGCAGGAGUCCUAGCUUCAGAUGACAGGGCUCGUUGGAGGUGCCCACCUGAGCCUGGCACACACGGCUUCCCACUCACAGCCCAUCUUUGUCACCCUACUGGUGACAGUCUUUCCAGCGGGGAUCCUCCAGCCACCCUUCUUCAGCAAGGACCAACCACAGGCCUUGAAUUUCGGGGGCAUCGGGAUGGUGAUUGGACACGAGAUCACACACGGCUUUGAUGAUAACGGUAAAGGAGCACGGGGGGUGCCCCAACCCACCCAGCAGGCCAGGAUCAGUUGGACAUAGGCCUGGUCUAGCCUCCAUCCCUGGAGGGGCUGCCCCGUUUGACUCUUAGAGCCUGACACCAUCAAUGAUGUCUUAGACGUUUUUCCCAUGUGGUUUAACCAGGGGGGGAUCAUAUGAGGGUAACCAUGUGCUCCUCCGUGUGGGUUUGGAUCAGCUGAAUUUGAGACUCCUGGUCCUAACUUCAGGGGCAAGGAUGGGGUGCCGUGGAAGCUCUCCUGAGCAGCCCCCCAACAUGGUGCUAUGUGCUGGGAACCCCUG
rnacentral:lncRNA from 1 species